GCACGUAACGUAUCGUGCACGUAUACGUACGUUCUUCGAUCACGUGAUUAUUUAUGGGUUACGUGCUAUGCAAUAUGCUACAACGAUUGAACAUUCAACCCCAUUGCAAGCUGCUUCCGAACAAGGUCAAUCCAUCGUCGAACGAACGAUUGAUUCGCAAUCAAGGAUCUGAAAAAGUGCAGAUAUCGGUGGCGAGUUCAAGUAUCCCAUCCGGACUAUAAAAUUUCUUCGUCAUACCGCGGCGAUGAUCGUAAAACUGCAGAGGGAGUACGUAUAACUUUAUCUACCACUUUAUUACACAGAUUGAUCAUAGCCACCGGGGUUUAGCUGUAGAUAAGCCAUGAAGAUUGCGACUGAAAAAAAACAAGCCAAUGAAAAGUAUGGGGAAACGUUCAUUUUUCUGAUCUUCUCAU
rnacentral:misc_RNA from 1 species